rnacentral:rRNA from 1 species
UGUAACAAGGGUUUCCGUAGGUGAACCUGCGGAAGGAUCAUUA